AUGCGCCGAUGCUUGGCCCACUUCUCGCCGUCGAUGCUGGCGAGGCCUUCGGCCAGCAGCUUCGACAGCGCCGGAAGCUUGGUCUUCUCGAAGUGGCCGAACUUGUUGGACAUGACGUCCUUGGCGAGGUCGGGGUCGCUGAUGGUGACCUUGGGGAUCGGGCCGACCCAAGAGAAGCACGUCCUCCCGUGUUCCUGA
rnacentral:rRNA from 1 species